UACGAAGGGGGCUAGCGUUGCUCGGAAUCACUGGGCGUAAAGGGUGCGUAGGCGGGUCUUUAAGUCAGGGGUGAAAUCCUGGAGCUCAACUCCAGAACUGCCUUUGAUACUGAAGAUCUUGAGUUCGGGAGAGGUGAGUGGAACUGCGAGUGUAGAGGUGAAAUUCGUAGAUAUUCGCAAGAACACCAGUGGCGAAGGGCGGCUCACUGGCCCGAUACUGACGCUGAGGCACGAAAAGCGUGGGGAGCAAACAGGG
rnacentral:rRNA from 1 species